UAAUGGGUCAGCGACUUAUAUUCUGUAGCAAGGUUAACCGUAUAGGGGAGCCGAAGGGAAACCGAGUCUUAACCGGGCGUUAAGUUGCAGGGUAUAGACCCGAAACCCGGUGAUCUAGCCAUGGGCAGGUUGAAGGUUGGGUAACACUAACUGGAGGACCGAACCGACUAAUGUUGAAAAAUUAGCGGAUGACCUGUGGCUGGGGGUGAAAGGCCAAUCAAACCGGGAGAUAGCUGGUUCUCCCCGAAAGCUAUUUAGGUAGCGCCUCGUGAAUUCAUCUCCGGGGGUAGAGCACUGUUUCGGCUAGGGGGCCAUCCCGGCUUACCAACCCGAUGCAAACUGCGAAUACCGGAGAAUGUUAUCACGGGAGACACACGGCGGGUGCUAACGUCCGUCGUGAAGAGGGAAACAACCCAGACCGCCAGCUAAGGUCCCAAAGUCAUGGUUAAGUGGGAAACGAUGUGGGAAGGCCCAGACAGCCAGGAUGUUGGCUUAGAAGCAGCCAUCAUUUAAAGAAAGCGUAAUAGCUCACUGGUCGAGUCGGCCUGCGCG
rnacentral:rRNA from 1 species